CAGCCGCCACGGUAAUACGUAGGUGGCAAGCGUUGUCCGGAAUUAUUGGGCGUAAAGGGCUCGCAGGCGGUUUCUUAAGUCUGAUGUGAAAGCCCCCGGCUCAACCGGGGAGGGUCAUUGGAAACUGGGAAACUUGAGUGCAGAAGAGGAGAGUGGAAUUCCACGUGUAGCGGUGAAAUGCGUAGAGAUGUGGAGGAACACCAGUGGCGAAGGCGACCCUCUGGUCUGUAACUGACGCUGAGGAGCGAAAGCGUGGGGAGCGAACAGGAUUAGAUACCCGCGUAGUCCCUGUCUCUUAUAC
rnacentral:rRNA from 1 species